rnacentral:tRNA from 1 species
GCCUGGGUGGCUCAGUCGUUUUAAGCGUCCGACUUCAGCUCAGGUCGUGAUCUCAUGGUCCGUGGGUUCGAGCCCCACGUCGGGCU